rnacentral:rRNA from 1 species
UACGUAGGGGGCUAGCGUUGUCCGGAUUUAUUGGGCGUAAAGAGCGUGUAGGCGGCCAGAUAGGUCUGCUGUGAAAACUCGAGGCUCAACCUCGAGAUGUCGGCGGAAACCAUUUGGCUAGAGUCCGGAAGAGGCAAGUGGAAUUCCCGGUGUAGCGGUGAAAUGCGCAGAUAUCGGGAGGAACACCAAUGGCGAAGGCAGCUUGCUGGGACGGUACUGACGCUGGAGACGCGAAAGCGUGGGGAGCAAACAGG